CUACGGAGGGUGCAAGCGUUGUUCGGAAUUACUGGGCGUAAAGCGCGCGUAGGCGGCUGUUUAAGUCAGAUGUGAAAGUCCAUGGCUCAACCAUGGAAGUGCAUAUGAAACUGGACAGCUUGAGUACUGGAGGGGGUGGUGGAAUUCCCGGUGUAGAGGUGAAAUUCGUAGAUAUCGGGAGGAAUACCGGUGGCGAAGGCGACCACCUGGCCAGAUACUGACGCUGGGGUGCGAAAGCGUGGGGAGCAAACAGGAUUAGAUACCCUGGUAGUCCACGCCGUAAACGAUGUGAACUAGGUGUUGGGAUGGUUAAUCGUCUCAUUGCCGGAGCUAACGCAUUAAGUUCACCGCCUGGGGAGUACGGUCGCAAGAUUAAA
rnacentral:rRNA from 1 species